rnacentral:rRNA from 1 species
UACGUAGGGUGCGAGCGUUAAUCGGAAUUACUGGGCGUAAAGCGUGCGCAGGCGGUUUGAUAAGCCAGAUGUGAAAUCCCCGAGCUCAACUUGGGAACUGCGUUUGGAACUGUCAGACUAGAGUGCGUCAGAGGGGGGUGGAAUUCCGCGUGUAGCAGUGAAAUGCGUAGAGAUGCGGAGGAACACCGAUGGCGAAGGCAGCCCCCUGGGAUGACACUGACGCUCAUGCACGAAAGCGUGGGGAGCAAACAGG